UCCAGAUUGGGCUGGGAGUAUGGCAGGAU
rnacentral:piRNA from 2 species